rnacentral:rRNA from 1 species
GACGAACGCUGGCGGCGUGCUUAACACAUGCAAGUCGAACGGAAAGGCCUGCUUUCCCUUGUGGAUUGCGGGUACUCGAGUGGCGAACGGGUGAGUAACACGUGAGUGAUCUGCCCCCAACUUGGGUAUAAGCCUGGGAAACUGGGUCUAAUUCCCGAUAGGACUGCAGGGUGGUGCCUGUGGUGGAAAACGAUUUUCUAGUGGUUGGGGAUGAGCUCGCGGCCUAUCAGCUUGUUGGUGGGGUAAUGGCCUACCAAGGCGGCGACGGGUAGCCGGCCUGGGAGGGUGGAAGGCCAAAUUGGGAAUGGGAAACGGCCCAGACUCCUACGGGAGGCAGCAGUGGGGAAUAUUGCACAAUGGGCGGAAGCCUGAUGCAGCGACGCCGCGUGGGGGAUGACGGCCUUCGGGUUGUAAACUCCUUUCGACCGCGAGGAAGCCACCUGGUUGGAAGGGUGGUGACGGUAGUGGUAGAAGAAGCACCGGCUAACUACGUG